CAUGAUCCAUCACCAAAAAGCAACAUUACUGUUCUUUGUUGAAUAACAACAAAUCCAGACUUAGUAAGGAGAGACUUAUUCAAAAAGGAUUAUUGCCAAGGGGAGGGGGAAGGGACUAUUGCAGUAAGGAGAGCACUGUGACAGGAGGACUUGCAAGUCUCCGGAGUUAAGCAAAAGGGGAUUUUCUUCUACAGAGAGUCAUAAACGGGGCUGGGAAGAACUGAGUACAGGGAAGUGGGAUAAAAGUUUGACGUGAUCAGACAGUAGAUCAGAGACUGUUUCACCCGGAGCCGGCUUAUUCUCAGGAGGGCUGUGUGCUGGCCUGAGUGAGGGGCAAAGUUCAGGCACUUGGCGGAAGGAGAGAAGCACAAAAUCAAGGUUCUCUCCUACACUACCUACACCACAGGGAUUCAGCCAUGAAAAACAACAACUAACACCCUACGCCCGUGGAGCUUUCAGCUAGUGGGAGAGCUAGUCAAGUUUAUGUCUUACAUCUGCUAUUGAACAGUAAGCAGUAGGUGAUUUGAAAGGAGGACCUCUGUCUUAUUUAUUUUUAUGUUCUCUACAAUACCUGGCUGGGCAAUUGGGACAUAGAAGAAG
rnacentral:lncRNA from 1 species